CAUAUCAAUAAGCGGAGGAAAAGAAACCAACAGGGAUUGCCCUAGUAACGGCGAGUGAAGCGGCAACAGCUCAAAUUUGAAAUCUGGCUCUUUCAGAGUCCGAGUUGUAAUUUGCAGAGGGCGCUUUGGCGUUGGCAGCGGUCCAAGUUCUUUGGAACAGGACGUCACAGAGGGUGAGAAUCCCGUACGUGGUCGCUAACCUUCGCCGUGUAAAGCCCCUUCGACGAGUCGAGUUGUUUGGGAAUGCAGCUCUAAAUGGGAGGUAAAUUUCUUCUAAAGCUAAAUACUGGCCAGAGACCGAUAGCGCACAAGUAGAGUGAUCGAAAGAUGAAAAGCACUUUGGAAAGAGAGUCAAAUAGCACGUGAAAUUGUUGAAAGGGAAGCGCUUGCAGCCAGACUUGCCUGUAGUUGCUUAUCCGGACUUUUGUCCGGUGCACUCUUCUGCAGGCAGGCCAGCAUCAGUUUGGGCGGUUGGAUAAAGGUCUCUAUCACGUACCUCCCUUCGGGGUUGGCCUUAUAGGGGAGACGUCAUGCAACCAGCCUGGACUGAGGUCCGCGCAUCUGCUAGGAUGCUGGCGUAAUGGCUGUAAGCGGCCCGUCUUGAAACACGGACCAAGGAGUCUAACAUCUAUGCGAGUGUUUGGGUGUCAAGCCCAGACGCGUAAUGAAAGUGAACGGAGGUGGGAACCUUUUAGGUGCACCAUCGACCGAUCCUGAUGUCUUCGGAUGGAUUUGAGUAAGAGCAUGGCUGUUGGGACCCGAAAGAUGGUGAACUAUGCUUGAAUAGGGUGAAGCCAGAGGAAACUCUGGUGGAGGCUCGCAGCGGUUCUGACGUGCAAAUCGAUCGUCAAAUUUGGGCAUAGGGGCGAAAGACUAAUCGAAC
rnacentral:rRNA from 1 species